ensembl:lncRNA
UGCAUUUCAAACAGUUCCAGAUUAGACCACGAUAAAACGUACAUGAACUCUGCACCAUUAGUGUUACCAGGUAUAGGGGCAGAGAUUCAGAAGACAUGUGAUGAAACCUGAUGCUGAUUACAACAAAUGGAUUUACACUGAAGAUCAGCUGGAAUAAUUUGGCCCCUAAAAACAGAGACAGAUUCUAAACACUGCUCUCCUGGCUCCGUUCAUCCCUUGGCAGGAAGGAAGGCAGGAGCAAACAUCUUGGACAACAGGGCUGCACAACAUGUCAGUGUGCUUGAGAUCAUUUCUGCAUUUUGCACCUAAAAGACAACACACUGCUAACAACUUUCUCAGCAGGCAUCAGGAGCAGGGAGGGGAAGGAAACUGCAGCAGGCACUCCUGAGGGACUGAAGAGCAAUGACGGCUUCUAUCUGAAGAAUGCUGAGAAAAUCUAAAAAGUUAUUUUAAAGCUUCUGAAGAAUUAAUAGAACGAUGUACGUAAACGUCCUCUCAGAAAUAUCAGAAUCCAGGGUGGGGUUUUACAGAAGUUGGAGAGGUACGAGAACUGAGGCUGAUGGCUGACUACAAUGAUUUUUUUUCCUAUAUUUCAUUGAAUCACAGAAUGGCCUGAGUUAAAAAGGAUUUCAAAGACCAUCUAGUUUCAAGCCCCCUGCUUUGGGCAUGGCCACCAACCACCAGACAGGGAGCACAUUUGCCCCUUGUUUUCACACUGGGAGUUGCAUAUUUGUAACUGAGGGAAGAACUGAGUGCAGUGUUAACAACGUUAGGUAAAUAAUGUUGCUAUUAGAUUUUUAGAACCUGUUCUUUCUUUCUUUUUUUUUUAACGUGUUAUGUAAUCACUCCUCUAAUGAGCGUUCGGCCAAUAAAGGUGAAACAAGUUGCUAA